GGGCGAGUAUGCAAGAGGUUAAAGCAGGCUGACUGUAAAUCAGUUACUUUAUGUUUCGUAGGUUCGACUCCUACCUCUCCCACCA
rnacentral:tRNA from 1 species